GGUUUAUCAAGAGUGCUACUUGUUAUCCGCCUUCGCCCGCUGGGCUUUGGUGAGAUGAAAGGGAUCUGGCCCAAUGGUAGCCAGCAACCACCCGGUUUGGGGAAGGUGCUAAUUCCAGCCCGGAUUCGGGGAAGAUAAUAA
rnacentral:ncRNA from 34 species